UACGUAGGGUGCAAGCGUUGUCCGGAAUUAUUGGGCGUAAAGAGCUCGUAGGCGGUUUGUUGCGUCGGCUGUGAAAUCCCGAGGCUCAACCUCGGGUCUGCAGUCGAUACGAGCAAACUAGAGUGUUGCAGGGGAGACUGGAAUUCCUGGUGUAGCGGUGAAAUGCGCAGAUAUCAGGAGGAACACCGGUGGCGAAGGCGGGUCUCUGGGCA
rnacentral:rRNA from 1 species